rnacentral:rRNA from 1 species
AGGACGAACGCUGGCGGCGUGCUUAACACAUGCAAGUCGAGCGAGAGCCAGUUGAGGGGUAACCUUCGACUGGGGACAGCGGCGAACGGGUGCGUAACACGUGGGCAACCUGCCCCUGACACUGGGAUAACCCCGGGAAACCGGAGCUAAUACCGGAUACUCUCGGCCGAUCACAUGGCUGGCCGAGGAAAGGUCCGCCGGUCAGGGAUGGGCCCGCGGCCUAUCAGCUUGUUGGUGGGGUAACGGCCUACCAAGGCGACGACGGGU